GAGAAAGUAAAUAUUAUUAGGUUAUAGUUAAAUUUAUUUGUUCAUUAAAUUUAAGAUUAUUAGGUGAAAUUUUAAUUUUAUUUUAAUAUUUUUAUUUGAAGCUGUGAAAUUUAUUUUAAAGACAAGGAUUAGAUACCCUUUUAUAUUAAAUGUAAAAAAUAAUCUGGGUAGUAAUAGUUAUGUUCUUGAAACUCAAAGAAUUUGGCGGUAUUUUAUUCUUUUUAGAGGAACCUGUCCUGUAAUUGAUAGUCCACGAUAGAUAAUUACUUAUUUUUGUAUUCAUUUUGUAUACCUCCGUCAUCAGAAUAUUUUUUUAGAAAUAAUGUUCAGGAAAUUCAAAAUAUAAAAUGUCAGGUCAAGGUGCAAUUGAUAAAUAAGUAGAGAUGGGUUACAAUAGAAUUAUUUAUACGAAUUGAUAAUUUUAUUAAUUAUUAUGAAGGUGGAUUUAAAAGUAAAAUUAUUUCUUUACUAAUUUGAUUUUAGUUCUAAAAUAUGCACACAUCGCCCGUCACUCUUAUUUUAAUAUAAGAUAAGUCGUAACAUAGUAGGUGUACUGGAAAGUGUACCUAGAAAGGUA
rnacentral:rRNA from 1 species